CCUACGGGUGGCAGCAGUGGGGAAUAUUGCACAAUGGGCGAAAGCCUGAUGCAGCAACGCCGCGUGAAGGAAGAAGGGUUUCGGCUCGUAAACUUCUAUCAACAGGGACGAAAGAAAUGACGGUACCUGAAUAAGAAGCCCCGGCUAACUACGUGCCAGCAGCCGCGGUAAUACGUAGGGGGCAAGCGUUAUCCGGAAUUACUGGGUGUAAAGGGUGAGUAGGCGGCAUGGUAAGCCAGAUGUGAAAGCCUUGGGCUUAACCCGAGGAUUGCAUUUGAAACUGUUUCCCUUGAGUGUCGGAGAGGUAAUCGGAAUUCCUUGUGUAGCGGUGAAAUGCGUAGAUAUAAGGAAGAACACCAGUGGCGAAGGCGGAUUACUGGACGAUAACUGACGGUGAGGCGCGAAAGCGUGGGGAGCAAACAGGAUUAGAUACCCUAGUAGUC
rnacentral:rRNA from 1 species